ACGGCGAGUGAAGCGGCAAAAGCUCAAAUUUGAAAUCUAGCACCUUCGGUGUUCGAGUUGUAAUUUGAAGAUGGUAACCUUGGGUUUGGCUCUUGUCUAUGUUCCUUGGAACAGGACGUCAUAGAGGGUGAGAAUCCCGUCUGAUGAGAUGCCCAUUCCUAUGUAAGGUGCUAUCGAAGAGUCGAGUUGUUUGGGAAUGCAGCUCUAAGUGGGUGGUAAAUUCCAUCUAAAGCUAAAUAUUGGCGAGAGACCGAUAGCGAACAAGUACAGUGAUGGAAAGAUGAAAAGAACUUUGAAAAGAGAGUGAAAAAGUACGUGAAAUUGUUGAAAGGGAAGGGCAUUAGAUCAGACUUGGUGUUUUACGAUUAUCUUCUCUUCUUGAGUUGUGCACUCGUAUUUCACUGGGCCAGCAUCGAUUCGGAUGGCAAGAUAAUGGCAGUUGAAUGUGGCUUCACUUCGGUGGAGUGUUAUAGCUUCUGCUGAUAUUGCCUGUCUGGAUCGAGGGCUG
rnacentral:rRNA from 1 species